rnacentral:rRNA from 1 species
GAUGAACGCUGGCGGCGUGCCUAAUACAUGCAAGUCGAGCGAACAGAUGAGGAGCUUGCUCCUCUGACGUUAGCGGCGGACGGGUGAGUAACACGUGGAUAACCUACCUAUAAGACUGGGAUAACUUCGGGAAACCGGAGCUAAUACCGGAUAAUAUAUUGAACCACAUGGUUCAAUAGUGAAAGACGGUUUUGCUGUCACUUAUAGAUGGAUCCGCGCCACAUUAGCUAGUUGGUAAGGUAACGGCUUACCAAGGCAACGAUGCGUAGCCGACCUGAGAGGGUGAUCGGCCACACUGGAACUGAGACACGGUCCAGACUCCUACGGGAGGCAGCAGUAGGGAAUCUUCCGCAAUGGGCGAAAGCCUGACGGAGCAACGCCGCGUGAGUGAUGAAGGUCUUCGGAUCGUAAAACUCUGUUAUUAGGGAAGAACAAAUGUGUAAGUAACUAUGCACGUCUUGACGGUACCUAAUCAGAAAGCCACGGCUAACUACGUG